rnacentral:rRNA from 1 species
GCCCGCUCAGAAACUUAAUAGAAUUGAGGGGGCCCCGCACAAGCGGUGGAGCAUGUGGUUUAAUUCGAUGAUACGCGAGGAACCUUACCUGGGCUCGAACGUAAGAUGACCUGUAGGUGAAAGCUUACAUCUCUUCGGAGCAUUUUACGAGGUGCUGCAUGGUUGUCGUCAGCUCGUGCCGUGAGGUGUCGGGUUAAGUCCCAUAACGAGCGCAACCCCUACCUUUAGUUGCCAUCAGGUUAAGCUGGGGACUCUAAAGGAACUGCCUACGCAAGUAGUGAGGAAGGCGGGGAUGACGUCAAGUCAGCAUGGCCCUUACGUCCGGGGCUACACACGUGCUACAAUGGCCGGUACAAAGGGUUGCGAAGCCGUGAGGUGGAGCGAAUCUCAAAAAGCCGGCCUCAGUUCGGAUUGGAGGCUGCAACUCGCCUCCAUGAAGCUGGAAUCGCUAGUAAUCGCGCAUCAGCCAUGGCGCGGUGAAUACGUUCCCGGGCCUU